AUUACGCACGUAUUUGCUGUAAAGCACUUUGAGCUGCAUUCUUUUGCAUGAAAGGUGCUAUAUAAAUAACGUUUUAUUAUUAUUUGUGCUCUACCAUCUUAUAGAUACUACAAUGGACCCAGAAGAGACGCUGCUCAGAGGCUCAUCUGGAACCUCCUCACCUACGUCAACUCCACCACCUUCAACUACUCCACUGCGUGCUACAAUUACCGAUGAUCUACCUGGAACAAGGACCCAGCAAACAAGGCAAAUGAGAGACGUCGAUGUGCUCGUAAACCAGAUGCAAGUCAUGACUCAACAAUGGAAGGAGGACAUGGCAAUAAGUGAGGCCCGGGAGGAACGGUUGAUCGCCAGCAUCCUCCGCACUGACAGUAUGGUUGAGAAGCUAAUGCAGAGAAUGGAUAACAUUCAACCUCAACCAAACACAUUCUCACCACCAGCACAACAUCAACCACCGCAAAAUGCGUAUUAUGGUUAUGGAUAUAUAUAUAUAUAUACACACACAAUCAGAAUUUAUAUAUAG
ensembl:lncRNA